UACGUAAGGGGCAAGCGUUGUCCGGAAUCACUGGGCGUAAAGCGCACGUAGGCGGUUUGUCAAGUUGGGGGUGUAAGCUCUGGGCCUAACCCAGAAAUUGCCUCCAAAACUAGCAUACUUGAGUAUUAGAGGGGAAGCUGGAAUUCACGGUGUAGCGGUGAAAUGCGUAGAUAUCGUGGAGAACACCCGUGGCGAAGGCGGGCUUCUGGCUAAUUACUGACGCUGAGGUGCGAAAGCUAGGGAGCGAACGGG
rnacentral:rRNA from 1 species